AACUUGCACCAUCUUUAAAGUACGGAAGCAUGAAAGCCCUCCAGCUGUGACAUCAAUGGAAAGAAGAAGACAGCAAAGAACUGUCAAGGUUUUUGGAAUGGCCUCAGUAGCUGUGCUACUGACAAGCUCAUCUUUGGAAAAGGAACCCAACUGACUGUGGAACCAAGAAUUCAGCCUCCUUCUAAACCAUCUGUUUUCAUCAUGAAAAAUGGAACAAAUGUUGCUUGUCUGGUGAAGGAUUUCUACCCCAAGGAUGUGAAUAUAAGUCUCAGAUCAUCCAAGAAGAUAGCAGAAUUUGACCCUGCUAUUGUCAUCUCCCCCAGCGGGAAGUACAGCGCUGUCAAGCUUGGUCAGUAUGGAGAUUCAAAUUCGGUGACAUGCUCAGUUCAGCACAACAGUGAAACUGUGCACUCUGAACCAUAUGCAAAUCCUGCUGCUACUGUUUCACCAGAACCUGAAUAUACCAAACCAACAUCAGAACCUGAAAAUAUCUUGCAAACUUCAAAGACUUGCCAUGGCCCAAAAGCUCACACCAAGAAGGCAAACAUGAUGUCCCUCACAGUGUUAGGACUACGGAUGCUGUUUGCCAAGAGUGUGGCCAUCAAUGUCCUCUUCACUGCCAAGUUAGUCUUCUUUUAAGUGGGCUGGCAUGAGGAGACCACGGUUCCUGAAAGAAGCCAAAAGCUUACAAAGAUGCUAUAGCCAAGGCUUUCAACUUCUUAGUGCUUCAACCUGGCGCGUCACCACCAUGUUUAAAUAGCUGAUAACAAAAUCAGCUUUUCUGUGAUGACAACAAGCCUAGCUAAUCCUCCAGUCUAGCGGAAAAGCAAAAGCCCUGGGGAGUGGGGUUUGUGGGCCUAGCUUUACACACUGUUUUAUAAAGAAAUGGAAAGCUAUGGAAACAGACCCAUUUUGCUUUACCUCUAUAACUGGUAUACUUUGAAAAUGGUGUUUUAUUUACCCAGAACUGCAAAGCGGGGACCAGUAAAUCACCAGCUUCGCUGUCCAGGAGGAAAAUGGUCUUGGGAAAGAGAACAUCUAUUUUUUUAGCUAAACAUGGAAAGCUGCACUCAACCCAUUCCUCGCUGGCGCCCUCUCCCUCCUCUCCUGAGGCAUGUGUGCCCCACUCCUGUAUUUGCUCUGACAGCCAUGCUGGAGCAUUUUCCUUUGCAGAACGAGGGUGCGAACAGUUUUAGCACUUUCUGCUCUCCCUAGUACUUUACAAACAAGAUCACAUUCAAGCAGGCAAUAAAGCUUCUAAACU